GUCCCUGUAGCUAAUUAGAUAGCGCGUUGGACUUCGAAUCCAAAGGUCGUGGGCUUGAAUUCCACCUGGGAUG